UACGUAGGGUGCGAGCGUUAAUCGGAAUUACUGGGCGUAAAGAGUGUGUAGGCGGUGCUCUGAGUCUGUUGUGAAAUCUCCCGGCUUAACCGGGAGGGUGCGGCGGAAACUGGAGUGCUUGAGGGUGGGAGAGGUAAGCGGAAUUCCUGGUGUAGCGGUGAAAUGCGUAGAUAUCAGGAGGAACACCUGUGGUGUAGACAGCUUACUGGACCACUUCUGACGCUGAGACACGAAAGCGUGGGUAGCAAACAGG
rnacentral:rRNA from 1 species